GACGAACGCUGGCGGCGUGCUUAACACAUGCAAGUCGAACGGAAGGGCCCUGCUUUUGUGGGGUGCUCGAGUGGCGAACGGGUGAGUAACACGUGAGUAACCUGCCCCUGACUUUGGGAUAACUUCAGGAAAAUGGGGCUAAUACCGGAUAGGAGAUCCUGCAGCAUGGGGGGGGUUGGAAAGUUUCGGCGGUUGGGGAUGGACUCGCGGCUUAUGGGCUUGUUGGUGGGGUAGGGGAUGACCAAGGCUAUGACGGGUAGCCUGCCUGGGAGGGCGGACGGCCACCAGAGUCCUGCGGUACGCACCAGACGCGAACCUUCCGCAACGGUGGAGAGUAUUACGCAGUAGGCGGGAGCCUGUUACGACAACGCCCCGAGCGGGAUGCCGUCCUUCGAGUUGUAAACCACUUUCGCCUGUACCGAGGCGUGAGUGACGGUAAUGGGUAAAGAAGCACCGGCUAACUACGUG
rnacentral:rRNA from 1 species